rnacentral:rRNA from 1 species
AACGAACGCUGGCGGCAGGCCUAACACAUGCAAGUCGAGCGAGGACUUCGGUCCUAGCGGCGGACGGGUGAGUAACGCGUGGGAACGUGCCCUUUGCUACGGAAUAGCCCCGGGAAACUGGGAGUAAUACCGUAUGUGCCCGAGAGGGGAAAGAUUUAUCGGCAAAGGAUCGGCCCGCGUUGGAUUAGGUAGUUGGUGGGGUAAUGGCCUACCAAGCCGACGAUCCAUAGCUGGUUUGAGAGGAUGAUCAGCCACACUGGGACUGAGACACGGCCCAGACUCCUACGGGAGGCAGCAGUGGGGAAUCUUAGACAAUGGGGGAAACCCUGAUCUAGCCAUGCCGCGUGAGCGAUGAAGGCCUUAGGGUUGUAAAGCUCUUUCAGUGGGGAAGAUAAUGACGGUACCCACAGAAGAAGCCCCGGCUAACUCCGUGCCAGCCGCCGCCGUAACAC